rnacentral:lncRNA from 1 species
UAUAUUUCAUUAACCAUAUUAUUACCAAAUACUUGUUGAAUCCUUUGUUUUUGUUUUUUUUUCCCCUUUCUCUUUUUUAUCUCCAAUAUCUCCAUCCAAUUAAAUAACAAAAGAAAAACUUCAAAUACCAUCCCUGUGUUUUCAUACUUUCUCACUAUAGUACUCUGUGAUUUAAAGUGUAUCAAUUUAGUGCCAUGUGGUUUCAUUUUUAUUUUUUUAUUAUCAAUUCCACUAAUUAUUUUUGUUAAAUCAGUGACAAAGUUAAAAAUAAAGAGUACUAAAGUGAAUAUUCGAUAAAUCUAGGUAGGAUAUCUAAAGUUUUUUUUAUAUAAUUUAACGAAAUAUUAACGAAAAAGCUGACAAAAAGAUAAAAAUGAAACCACAGAACACUAAUUUAAUACACUUUAAACCACAAGAUAUAAAGUGAGAAAAUGCGAAACCACAGGGGUGAUAUUUGAAGUUUACCCAACAACAAAAAGAUAGCUUUUAGAUUAGUUUAGGGUAAU